UCUUGUUCGUUUGUGCCUGGUCUCUGGUGUCGUCCACUUCACGCACACACUCUCUCUCUCACACACACACUCGCUGCGACUUCUACUUAUUGUUAAUCCCAAAUCAUUGCAUUCCCUUCGCUGACGCGAAUGCGACCAAGAUGCCGAGAAUGGAGGGCAUUCUGAACCUUCCAGUGCAAGACCCUCUUUGUCCCGAGUUUUCUGCUGCUCACAUAAAUUGGGUCAAAUUGGAAGGUGGUCGCCAAUGUGGUGAUAAUAUUGCUCUGAUUCCUUUUGCCAGAGUUGAUGAUUUUGUCAAAGGGGAAUCUUCCAACCCCCCAAUGCCCUGCGAGUUUUCGCGUAGAAUCAAGAAGGAAGAGACCUGUAGGAAGCAUUGCCAAACCAAGGGUUGAUGGCUAUCUUGAAUAUACAUUAUACUGGUGUUCUUAUGGUCCCAAAGACUACCGAGAGAGUGACUCGGGUGUAGGGGAGGCGUCACAUGAUGAGAGGGUGUCUUUGCCAUUUCACUGUUAAAAGGCUGUACACCCGUCCCCUCCUUGCACUAAUCAUAUAUAACCAAAGAAGGCAUGCAGAUAAAUCACGGGCGCCAUGUCAUGGAAUACUUGACAGGGAUGCAGUAGGGACGAGAGCUAUGUAUGCAUGCUCCGCGAAUUUCGGAUGAGUUACGCCAGAAAGUGAUGUCCAUGCUUUAUGUUGGAAUAUCUUUGGACAAGAUAAUCCAGCACCAUGCGAGGAUAUGCAGAAGCAAGGUGGCCCCCAAAACCGUGAUGAUUUUCUCACUCGAAAUGAUGUGCGUAACAUGGAAAGGACUGUUCGUAAUUCUUCAAAUGAGCUACACGAAAAUGAUGAAUGCAGUGUAAAGAUAUGGGUUCAGCAGCAUCAGAAGCAUGUUUUCUAUUUUCAAGAUAACUCAAGUUCAGAACCAUUUGUGUUGGGCAUACAAACAGAUUGGCAGUUGCAACAAAUGCUUCGUUUUGGAAAUAAUAGUUUCAUUUCUUUUCAUUCAAGUUUUGGCUUGAAGAAGCUUAAGUAUCCCAUAUGUUCUUUACUUGUUUUCAAUUCAUCUCAAAAUGCAAUUCCGGUUGCCUGGAUCAUCACCUCAUCUUUUGUUGGUAAAGCUAUUCAUAAAUGGAUUGUAUUGCUAUCUGAAAGAUUAUGAACCAAGGAUCCCAGAUGGAGGCCUAAUGCUAUUUUGUUGGAUGAUCCAUCUUUGGACUAUUCUAUCAUAAGAGAGGCUUUCCGGUGUCGCAUCCUAUUAUGUGCCUGGCAUGUUCGCCGUACUUGGAUUAAAAAACUUUUCAAAAAAUGCUGCAACAUUGAAGUGCAACGGGAGAUGUUUAGGCAUUUGGGAUGGAUUUUAUACUGUACAAAAUGUGGGCCAAAUGCUAUGGAUGCAGUUGAAGAGCUUAUGCAAAUUUUUGUUGACCAGUGUGCCUUCAUGGACUAUUUCAAGAGCCAUUGGCUAGCUAGUAUAGAUAUGUGGAUUAAUGCCAUAAAAUCACUCUCUGUGACAACUCCAGAGCCACAUGCUGCAAUAGAAUCCUAUCACCUAAAAUUAAAAUCCAUGCUUUUGAAGGAGAAUUAUGCCAGUUUCUGGCCAAGGGUUGACUGGUUAAUCCACACUUUAACUACUGAAUUUCACUCAUUAUACUGGCUAGAUCAAUACAGUUUAGAGACUGGGUAUUUUGAGAAUCUACGGGACAAUUCUUUCUCCUCUAAUGUUUGGUACCAUGCUCUUCAUAUUCCAGAUGUUGAUGUGAUACUGGAUGAGCAAAAUCUCCAUCUUGCCAAAGUUUAAUCCCAGACUGACAGAAGCUUGGUGUAUACAGUUUGGAAUCCUGGUUCAGAAUUUUCACUUUGUGAUUGUUCCUGGUCUAGGCUGGGGAACCUCUGUAAACAUGUCAUCAAGGUGGCCACUUUCUGUAGAAGUCAACAGGUUGCGAGACCAUCAUUGUCUACUCAAGGUUAUAAACAAGCUUUGCUCACCCUUCUCCAUAAUCCUCCUGAUGAUCCUUUAGUUCUGGACCUCACAAUUCUACAUGUGACCCAUUUGCAACAAGACAUUAAGGCCUUGGAAGACUUUUCCAACAAUGGAUUGCUCCAGCCUAUAGCUCCUGAUUUAAGUUCUCAAACCUGAAAAUCCUCUGCUUUUUCAGCGCAUCCAGUGACUGGUCCAUUUUAAAAACAGAUUGACUGUGUUUGGGUUAAAACUUAUUUUUUGAGGCUAAUGUUGUGAUCCUUGAUCAAUCAAUUUGCAAGAAUAAAAAAGGAUAACCUUGCUUUUAAGAAGGUCCACAACUAUUUGCUUCAUGAAACCACAACACUCUUUUUGCGGAAGUAACUGUCUUGAAGUGCUACUUAUGGUGGAGUCGGACCCAUGGUUAUUCGAAGUUUGAGGUGGCUUCUCCAUAGCAUAUUUGAGGCUGUUAUCUGGCAGGUACAAUAUACCAUCAGAUGCUUUCACCACUUAGAGGGGAGGAUGAACUCUAGGGUGCCAAAAGAAAUGAGAAGGGAAGGAACAAAGCAACAGGAUCACGUUGAGGAUCAUAACAUGCAUUGAGACUUUAAAGUGUUUUGCAGAUCAAACCUUCAUGCAGUCAGUGUGGUGAUUAUUGGAGGGGAUAUUCAGUUAUGGUGUCUUCUGGUGUAGGAUACACAGGUGAUAAAUCGUUAGAUGUCACAUAAUACAAGUUGCAAAGAAAUGUGAAAAAAGACGUGUGCGUAGGCAAUGAGCCGAUCCACCCCACUUAAGUUCAACAAGAGCAUCAUUAGAAGGGAUAUUACUAUCUCAGAAAGAAAAA